rnacentral:rRNA from 1 species
UGCCUACGGGACGCAGCAGUGGGGAAUAUUGCACAAUGGGGGAAACCCUGAUGCAGCGACGCCGCGUGAGUGAAGAAGUAUUUCGGUACGUAAAGCUCUAUCAGCAGGGAAGAAAAUGACGGUACCUGACUAAGAAGCCCCGGCUAACUACGUGCCAGCAGCCGCGGUAAUACGUAGGGGGCAAGCGUUAUCCGGAUUUACUGGGUGUAAAGGGAGCGCAGGCGGCAGCGCAAGUCUGAUGUGAAAGCCCGGGGCCCAACCGCGGUACUGCAUUGGAACCUGCGCAGCUGGAGUGCCGGAGGGGG